GACAGAGGUGCCGAGCGUUAGGCGGAAUCACUGGGCUUAAAGCGUGUGUAGGUGGAUGUCUAAGUACCUUGUGAAAUCCCACGGCUUAACCGUGGAACUGCUCGGUAUACUGGAUGUCUUGAGCCAGCUAGGGGCUACCGGAACAAAUGGUGGAGCGGUGAAAUGCGCAGAUAUCAGGAGGAACACCGGUGGCGAAGGCGGCCUGCUGGGGUGGAGCUGACGCUGAGGCGCGACAGCGUGGGGAGCAAACAGG
rnacentral:rRNA from 1 species